rnacentral:rRNA from 1 species
CGCGUAGGCGGAUCGUUAAGUCAGAGGUGAAAUCCCAGGGCUCAACCCUGGAACUGCCUUUGAUACUGGCGAUCUUGAGUAUGAGAGAGGUAUGUGGAACUCCGAGUGUAGAGGUGAAAUUCGUAGAUAUUCGGAAGAACACCAGUGGCGCAGGCGACAUACUGGCUCAUUACUGACGCUGAUGCACGAAAGUGUGGGGAUCAAACAGGAUUAGAUACCCUGGUA